CGCAUCUGUGCAUGCAGCAUAUCAAUAAGCGGAGGAAAAGAAACUAACAAGGAUUCCCUUAGUAACGGCGAGUGAAGCGGGAAGAGCUCAAAUUUGAAAUCUUCAAGGUUUUACCUUGACGAAUUGUAGUUUAAAGAAGUGUUUUCUGUUGAAGUUUUGGUAAAAGUUCUUUGGAAUAGGACAUCAUAGAGGGUGAGAAUCCCGUACUUGACCAUUAUUUUCCGCUGUGUGAUACACUUUCAAAGAGUCAGAUUGUUUGGGAAUGCAGUCCAAAAUGGGUGGUAAAUUUCAUCUAAAGCUAAAUAUUGGCGAGAGACCGAUAGCGAACAAGUACCGUGAGGGAAAGAUGAAAAGAACUUUGAAAAGAGAGUUAAACAGUACGUGAGAUUGUCAAAAGGGAAGCGUUUGACACCAGUGUCGUUUUCUCGAAAAUCAAUUAAAAAGAGUUAGAUUUUGUUGUGUAUUGACCUUAACAGCUUGCAUUUCAAUUUUCUUGCUUUUUUUAAUGCACUUUUCGUUUAACAAGUCAACAUCAGUUUCUUUUGUUGUAAAAAGGUCAUUGGGAGGUGGCUUUCUUUUCGGAGAAAGAUGUUUAUAGCCUUUGACUCCUGCAAUCGGAGAGACUGAGGUCUGCAGCGUAGAUCCUUCGGGGUUAGAUACAUUUGUGCUAAGUUAUAGCUUUUUAUAGACAACUUGUUGACUAUGAUUAGUCUUGUAGCUUACUCGCUUAUGCUAUUUUACCUACGCUUAGGAUGUUGAUGUGAUACUGCGAGCA
rnacentral:rRNA from 1 species